AAGACAGUUCAUCAGUAAAGUGCCUGUCUUAAAAGCAUGAGGACCUGAGUUCAAAUCCCAGAAUCCAUACAAAAGAAGCCAGAGGCACUGGUGUACACUGUGAUUCUGCUGCUGAUAAGCACCUUCCAGAAACAACAGCAGAAGUGAAUGUGCUUGUGACCCUGUAGACCUCCUGGCUGUCUUGGAUGUUGGGAUUCUCCAUCUCUUGUGUGUUUUCCUUUCAGAAGAGGGGGCAGAACUGAACCAGGCUUGGCACAUGCCUAUAAUCCCAGCAUGUGGGAGGCUGGGGAAGGAAUACUACAGUGAGCUGGAGGCUUUCCAGGGCUACUGAGUGCAGGAAAAACUGAGCCAUCUCACCAGCCGCCGACGCUAUAGAGUACCUGGAUUCAUGGAGACAGAAGUACAAGGGUGGUUUGAGGGAUGGGAAAUGAGAGGGGCCGGGAGGAGCUGUCUCCCAUCCACUGUUUCUCAGCUUCACUUCUGUGAAAUGCGAAGAGUUCCGGAGACUGGUUGUAGAACAGUGCAAAUACACUCACUACAACUGAACCACGAUUAAGAAGGGGUGAAACCGUCUAUCUUGAAAAGGGAAUCAAUUAAUCAACCAAAGGGCAUUGUACAAACUCCAGCGGUAGUGUCCCAUAGUCUAUAUGAGGUACACCUUUUCAAAGAUAUGGAAUAUGUUUUUGUUUGUUUGUUUGUUUUUGGUGGCCCCUGUGUUCCCUAGAAGCCUCAGGCAGGCAGGGAGCAGAGAGAGAUGGAACUUCAAGAUCUAAGCAGGAUGCUGUUUGUGUCACGGUCAUUUUUCUGUAAGAUGAGCCCGUUUGGUUCCAUUUGCAGGUCUUAUGUUCCCAUCUUUUCUUCCCAUCCCAUAUCACCCAGCUUUGAACUGGCAGGUUAUACUACAGCCACAAGAUUCUGUCUUCUCCUUUUCU